rnacentral:rRNA from 1 species
ACUCCUACGGGAGGCAGCAGUGGGGAAUCUUGGACAAUGGGGGCAACCCUGAUCCAGCCAUGCCGCGUGAGUGAUGAAGGCCUUAGGGUCGUAAAGCUCUUUCGCCUGUGAUGAUAAUGACAGUAGCAGGUAAAGAAACCCCGGCUAACUCCGUGCCAGCAGCCGCGGUAAUACGGAGGGGGUUAGCGUUGUUCGGAAUUACUGGGGCGUAAAGCGCGCGUAGGCGGACCAGAAAGUUGGGGGUGAAAUCCCGGGGGCUCAACCCCGGAACUGCCUCCAAAACUCCUGGUCUUGAGUUCGAGAGAGGUGAGUGGAAUUCCGAGUGUAGAGGUGAAAUUCGUAGAUAUUCGGAGGAACACCAGUGGCGAAGGCGGCUCACUGGCUCGAUACUGACGCUGAGGUGCGAAAGUGUGGGGAGCAAACAGGAUUAGAUACCCUGGUAGGAUAGCG